UGCUAAAGGAAAUCAAUCCUGAAGAAUCAUUGGAAGAACUUAUGUUGAAGCUCCAAUACGUCAGCCACCUGAUUCAAAGAGCUUAUUCAUUGGAGAAGACCCUGAUGUUGAGAAAGAUUGAAGGCAAAGGAGAAGGGGGCGGCAGAGGAUGAGAUGGUUAGAUAGCAUCACCAACUCAGAGUACAUGAAUUUGAGCAAACUCCAAUAGAUAGUGGAGAACAGAGGAGCCUGGCAUGCUGCAGUCCAUGGGGUUGCAGAGUUGGACACAACUUAGAAGCUGAACAGUAGCAUGGUAGUUGUUGGUUGUACUACAAAACUGAUGACUUUGAAGUCACCACACUUGGCAUGGAGCUUGCUGAAGUGAAAAGAGAAGUGAAGAGCUUGCUGAGAAGCUUUUAAUCUGAGAAGGUUUCAUCUGACAUCCCUCAGUUUCUCCAAAAUUCACUGGCACAAGAAUCCUUACCUCAGACUCUGCUUCUUGAGAAACUGACAUGAGAUAGUAAAAUAUUUGAUGUUAAAACAGUUAUGCAAAGAAGACAAGACAAAAAGAUCAAUAAUAAAAGCAAAAACAAUAACCAAAAGGAAGGACUAGAUUUUUCCUCCUUUCAGGACAACCUCUUCUUAUCCAAAACAUGUGAUAAAAAUGACAGUUUUUUAAGUGAGAUCUAACAAGUCAGCCAAAAUAAUUAGAAACUCAAAGGAAGACUAUUUGGGACUUCCCUGGUGGUACAACUGUACCAACUUCCAGUGCAGGGGACAUGUGUCUAAUCCCUGGUCUGGGAAGAUUACAUGUACUGUGGAGCAGCUAAGCCUGUACACCACAACUACUGAGCCCCUGCUCCAGAGCCUACAAGUCUCAACUACUGAGCCUGCACUCCAGAGCUACUAAAGCCCGUGCACCCAGAGCCUGUGCUCAACAAGAGAAGCCACUGCAAUGAGAGGCCCAUGCACUGCAAUGAAAGAAUAGCCUCUGCCUGCCACAACUAGAGAAAGCCUGCACACAGCAGUGAAUACCCAGUGCAACCCAAAAGAAAUAAUUUUAAAUACAGAUUUCUAUCCACUUUUCUAGCAAAUGAAUCUUGCCUUAGUGGCCAUAAUGGAUUGAGG
ensembl:lncRNA